GGGUGUAUAGCUCAGUGGUAGAGUGUGUGCUUAGCAUGCAUGAGGUCCUGGGUUCAAUCCCCAGGACCUCCA
rnacentral:tRNA from 1 species